GUGCUCGCUUCAGCAGCACAUACACUAAAAUUGGAAUGAUACAGAGAUUAGCCUGGCGCCUGCGCAAGGAUGACACACAAAUUCGUGAAGCAUUCCAUAUUUAA
ensembl:snRNA U6 U6 spliceosomal RNA